AGUGAACGCUGGCGGUAGGCCUAACACAUGCAAGUCGAACGGCAGCACAGUAAGAGCUUGCUCUUACGGGUGGCGAGUGGCGGACGGGUGAGGAAUACAUCGGAAUCUACUUUUUCGUGGGGGAUAACGUAGGGAAACUUACGCUAAUACCGCAUACGACCUACGGGUGAAAGCAGGGGAUCUUCGGACCUUGCGCGAUUGAAUGAGCCGAUGUCGGAUUAGCUAGUUGGCGGGGUAAAGGCCCACCAAGGCGACGAUCCGUAUCUGGUCUGAGAGGAUGGUCGGCCGCAUUGGAACUUAGACACGGUCCAGACUCCUACGGGAGGCAGCAGUGGGGAAUAUUGGACAAUGGGCGCAAGCCUGAUCCAGCCAUACCGCGUGGGUUAAGAAGGCCUUCGGGUUGUAAAGCCCUUUUGUUGGGAAAGAAAAGCAGCAGGUUAAUACCCCGCUGUUCUGACGGUACCCAAAGAAUAAGCACCGGCUAACUUCGUG
rnacentral:rRNA from 1 species